rnacentral:rRNA from 1 species
GAUGAACGCUGGCGGCGUGCCUAAUACAUGCAAGUCGAGCGAACAGAUGAGGAGCUUGCUCCUCUGACGUUAGCGGCGGACGGGUGAGUAACACGUGGAUAACCUACCUAUAAGACUGGGAUAACUUCGGGAAACCGGAUCUAAUACCGGAUAAUAUAUUGAACCGCAUGGUUCAUUAGUGAAAGACGGUUUUGCUGUCACUUAUAGAUGGAUCCGCGCCGCAUUUAGCUAGUUGGUAAGGUAACGGCUUACCAAGGCAACGAUGCGUAGCCGACCUGAGAGGGUGAUCGGCCACACGGGAACUGGGACACGGUCCAGACUCCUACGGGAGGCAGCAGUAGGGAAUCUUCCGCAAUGGGCGAAAGCCUGACGGAGCAACGCCGCGUGAGUGAUGAAGGUCUUCGGAUCGUAAAACUCUGUUAUUAGGGAAGAACAAAUGUGUAAGUAACUAUGCACGUCUUGACGGUACCUAAUCAGAAGGCCACGGCUAACUACGUG